UCUCGCAUAGCACAAUUGGUAGUGCAGUUGACUGUUACUCAAAAGGUUAUAGGUUCGAGUCCUAUUGUGAGAGCCA
rnacentral:tRNA from 1 species